GAUGAACGCUGGCGGCGUGCCUAAUACAUGCAAGUCGAGCGAACGGACGAGAAGCUUGCUUCUCUGAUGUUAGCGGCGGACGGGUGAGUAACACGUGGAUAACCUACCUAUAAGACUGGGAUAACUUCGGGAAACCGGAGCUAAUACCGGAUGAUAUUUUGAACCGCAUGGUUCAAAAGUGAAAGACGGUCUUGCUGUCACUUAUAGAUGGAUCCGCGCUGCAUUAGCUAGUUGGUAAGGUAACGGCUUACCAAGGCAACGAUGCAUAGCCGACCUGAGAGGGUGAUAGGCCACACUGGAACUGAGACACGGACCAGACUCCUACGGGAGGCAGCAGUAGGGAAUCUUCCGCAAUGGGCGAAAGCAUGACGGAGCAACGCAGCGUGAGUGAUGAAGGUCUUCGGAUCGUAAAACUCUGUUAUUAGGGAAGAACAUAUGUGUAAGUAACUGUGCACAUCUUGACGGUACCUAAUCAGAAAGCCACGGCUAACUACGUG
rnacentral:rRNA from 1 species